GACGAACCGUGCGAACGUUGUUCGGAAUCACUGGGCUUAAAGGGCGCGUAGGCGGAUCAGCAAGUCCGGGGUGAAAUCUUUCGGCUCAACCGGAAAAGUGCCUUGGAUACUGCUGGUCUCGAGGGAGGUAGGGGCAUGUGGAACUUCCGGUGGAGCGGUGAAAUGCGUUGAUAUCGGAAGGAACGCCGGUGGCGAAAGCGACGUGCUGGCCCUCUUCUGACGCUGAGGCGCGAAAGCCAGGGGAGCGAACGGG
rnacentral:rRNA from 1 species